rnacentral:rRNA from 1 species
UAGGGAAUCUUCCGCAAUGGGCGAAAGCCUGACGGAGCAACGCCGCGUGAGUGAUGAAGGUCUUCGGAUCGUAAAACUCUGUUAUUAGGGAAGAACAAAUGUGUAAGUAACUAUGCACGUCUUGACGGUACCUAAUCAGAAAGCCACGGCUAACUACGUGCCAGCAGCCGCGGUAAUACGUAGGUGGCAAGCGUUAUCCGGAAUUAUUGGGCGUAAAGCGCGCGUAGGCGGUUUUUUAAGUCUGAUGUGAAAGCCCACGGCUCAACCGUGGAGGGUCAUUGGAAACUGGAAAACUUGAGUGCAGAAGAGGAAAGUGGAAUUCCAUGUGUAGUGGUGAAAUGCGCAGAGAUAUGGAGGAACACCAGUGGCGAAGGCGACUUUCUGGUCUGUAACUGACGCUGAUGUGCGAAAGCGUGGGGAUCAAACAGG